rnacentral:tRNA from 1 species
GCAUCGGUGGUUCAGUGGUAGAAUGCUCGCCUGCCACACGCGCGGCCCAGGUUCAAUUCCCGGCCGAUCA